CUCUAUAGUAAGCAUAUGAAAAAUACAUUUUUAAACUGGUGGUAGUGGGUAAGGAUUGAAAACCAAGAGCUAACAACAGUAAUAUGGAUAUACACACAGAAAAUAAACACAAAUGUCACAAUCAGGAUACUGUUCUGAACAAUGUCCACAUGAAUCCAAAUAAGAAGAAAAACCACAGGCCACAGGUAAACAACCGUCCAAAAAAAAUAAAUAAAAGUACAUGGGGCCGAUAUGCCCAGCCUUUACAUGUGACAAAAUGGAGAUCAGGUGUCAAAAUCAUAAGAGGUCAGUAAUGAGGAGCCAGGAAUAAAUGCAUGUUCAGCUGCUUGUCUUGCACUCGUUAGUCAGUGCCAUCUUAAUGAAACAGGAGAGAUCUGGGAUGGCUGCAGUGGCAUUUGAUAACCAUAAAAUGAGGGAAACUAUGGACAUAACAUGGACCACAAGGAUCUACAGCAGGGAAGAGGACAGGAAAUAUGGAUUGCAUAAUCAGAUGUCGUAAUGCAGCUCAAUGAGAAGUCUUGCAUGACUGUUGUGUUUGGGUCCACUGAGCUAAACAACCAGGAAGUACCAGGACAGGUGCCUGAUAUACAGCUAUGGGUAUGUGAAUAUUGUAAUCAUUUGUUGGACAUGGUUGAAGCUCAUUGAAUUUCUGCUCCAUCAUGGCCAAUCUGGUGUCAUGGGAGUGCACAAAAU